rnacentral:rRNA from 1 species
AGGACGAACGCUGGCGGCGUGCUUAACACAUGCAAGUCGAGCGGUAAGGCCUUUCGGGGUACACGAGCGGCGAACGGGUGAGUAACACGUGGGUGAUCUGCCCUGCACUCUGGGAUAAGCCUGGGAAACUGGGGUCUAAUACCGGAUAUGACCUGCUCUCGCAUGGGGGUGGUGGAAAGAUUUAUCGGUGCAGGAUGGGCCCGCGGCCUAUCAGCUUGUUGGUGGGGUAAUGGCCUACCAAGGCGACGACGGGUAGCCGACCUGAGAGGGUGACCGGCCACGACUGGGACU